AACGAACGCUGGCGGCGGGGUUUAGGCAUGCAAGUCGAGCGAGAAAGGGGCAACCCGAGUAAAGCGGCGUAAGGGUGAGUAAUAGGUAGUUCACGUAUCCUGCAGACGCGGAUAAUUUCCCGAAAGGGAUUGUAAUACGCGAUGAGACCACAGCUGAUCCGUCAGCCGGGGUCAAAGGUUCGGGAUCCUUCGGGACCGAGCGCUGUUUGAGCGGACGACCUCCGAUUAGCUAGAUGGCGGGGAACGGCCCACCAUGGCGAUGAUCGGUAGCCGGCCUGAGAGGGU
rnacentral:rRNA from 1 species